UGGCUAAUGCGAGGGAUUUAGGAUCCCUUCUUCGGAGGUUCAAUUCCCCCCCCCAGCU
rnacentral:tRNA from 1 species